GUUGGCGAUAUACUGUCAGCGGCCAAGCGAAAGUAUUAAGUGAUGCACCUGGGGAGUACGCCGGCAACGGUGAAACUCAAAGGAAUUGACGGGGGCCCGCACAAGCGGUGGAGCAUGUGGUUUAAUUCGAUGAUACGCGAGGAACCUUACCAGGGCUUAAAUGUAGUAUGACCGGCUUAGAAAUAGGCCUUCUCUUCGGAGCAGAUUACAAGGUGCUGCAUGGUUGUCGUCAGCUCGUGCCGUGAGGUGUUAGGUUAAGUCCUGCAACGAGCGCAACCCCUAUUCUUAGUUGCCAGCGGUUCGGCCGGGGACUCUAAGAAGACUGCCAGCGCAAGCUGAGAGGAAGGUGGGGAUGACGUCAAAUCAUCACGGCCCUUACGUCCUGGGCUACACACGUGCUACAAUGGUAGAGACAGAGGGCAGCCACCUGGUGACAGGGAGCGAAUCCUUAAACUCUAUCUCAGUUCGGAUCGAAGUCUGCAACUCGACUUCGUGAAGCUGGAAUCGCUAGUAAUCGCGCAUCAGCCAUGGCGCGGUGAAUACGUUCCCGGGCCUUGUACACACCGCCCGUCAAGCCAUGGAAGCUGGGGGCACCUGAAGUCGGUAACCGUAAGGAGCCGCCUAGGGUGAAACUGGUAACUAGGGCU
rnacentral:rRNA from 1 species